rnacentral:lncRNA from 1 species
CUGCGUGGUCGAGCUGGCUGCCCCCUCAGCCGCCUGCCUUUGUGCCUCCAGCCUCCUUGGCUCCCUGAGUGCCUCACUUUGCCUUCUCCCCUGUUUCUCCCACCUCUGAGGCCGAGUAGCAGAAGUCAGAAGCUGGUGUCCAAGAGCCCCAAGAAGCAUGGUUAUGUCCCCUGAAGCCCUGGUCCACAUGAAGCUCUUCCUGCUUUUCUUCAGAGGAAGAUGCAGGAGCUGGUUAAUGGAAUGGAUUUUGCAUUCAGACAUCUCUUGGGGCUGCCUGUAGGUGGAUAUGUUCAUGGAAGACGGUGAAAAAGACAAGAAUAGGAUUUGCUGUAUAGAAUCACUAUAGUCACCAUCACACUGAGUAUCAACAACAUCUCUUGUUAUCCUCACAACUGUGCAAAACAGGUAAGGAGGAGAGUAUGACACCGUAUUAGUCCAUUCUCACACAGCUAUAAAAAAUACCUGAGACUAGGUAAUUUAUAAAGAAAAGAGGUUUAAUUGGCUCACAGUUCCACAGGCUGUACAGGAAGCAUGAUGCUGGCAUCUGCUUAGCUU